CACUAUCGUUAACUGAAUACAUAGGUUAACGAGGCGAACCGGGGGAACUGAAACAUCUAAGUACCCCGAGGAAAAGAAAUCAACCGAGAUUCCCCCAGUAGCGGCGAGCGAACGGGGAGCAGCCCAGAGUCUGAAUCAGCUUGUGUGUUAGUGGAACGGUCUGGAAAGUCCGACGGUACAGGGUGAUAGUCCCGUACACCAAAAUGCACAGGCUGUGAACUCGAAGAGUAGGGCGGGACACGUGGUAUCCUGUCUGAAUAUGGGGGGACCAUCCUCCAAGGCUAAAUACUCCUGACUGACCGAUAGUGAACCAGUACCGUGAGGGAAAGGCGAAAAGAACCCCGGCGAGGGGAGUGAAAAAGAACCUGAAACCGUGUACGUACAAGCAGUGGGAGCACCUUCGGGUGUGACUGCGUACCUUUUGUAUAAUGGGUCAGCGACUUAUAUUCUGUAGCAAGGUUAACCGUAUAGGGGAGCCGCAGGGAAACCGAGUCUUAACUGGGCGUUAAGUUGCAGGGUAUAGACCCGAAACCCGGUGAUCUAGCCAUGGGCAGGUUGAAGGUUGGGUAACACUAACUGGAGGACCGAACCGACUAAUGUUGAAAAAUUAGCGGAUGACUUGUGGCUGGGGGUGAAAGGCCAAUCAAACCGGGAGAUAGCUGGUUCUCCCCGAAAGCUAUUUAGGUAGCGCCUCGUGAAUUCAUCUUCGGGGGUAGAGCACUGUUUCGGCUAGGGGGUCAUCCCGACUUACCAACCCGAUGCAAACUACGAAUACCGAAGAAUGUUAUCACGGGAGACACACGGCGGGUGCUAACGUCCGUCGUGAAGAGGGAAACAACCCAGACCGCCAGCUAAGGUCCCAAAGUCAUGGUUAAGUGGGAAACGAUGUGGGAAGGCACAGACAGCCAGGAUGUUGGCUUAGAAGCAGCCAUCAUUUAAAGAA
rnacentral:rRNA from 1 species